rnacentral:tRNA from 1 species
GUAAAUAUAGUUUAAUAAAAACUUUAGAUUGUGAAUCUAACAAUAGAAUAUAGUAAUUCUUAUUUACC